AUUGAACGCUGGCGGCAUGCCUUACACAUGCAAGUCGAACGGCAGCACGGGGCAACCUGGUGGCGAGUGGCGAACGGGUGAGUAAUGCAUCGGAACGUACCUUUCAGUGGGGGAUAACGUAGCGAAAGUUACGCUAAUACCGCAUAUUCUGUGAGCGGGAAAGCAGGGGAUCGCAAGACCUUGCGCUGAUUGAGCGGCCGAUGUCAGAUUAGCUAGUUGGUGAGGUAAAGGCUCACCAAGGCGAAGAUCUGUAGCGGGUCUGAGAGGAUGAUCCGCCACACUGGAACUGAGACACGGUCCAGACUCCUACGGGAGGCAGCAGUGGGGAAUUUUGGACAAUGGGGGCAACCCUGAUCCAGCCAUGCCGCGUGAGUGAAGAAGGCCUUCGGGUUGUAAAGCUCUUUCGGCCGGGAAGAAAUCGCACGAGCUAAUACCCUGUGUGGGUGACGGUACCGGAAUAAGAAGCACCGGCUAACUACGUGCCAGCAGCCGCCGUAACAC
rnacentral:rRNA from 1 species